rnacentral:lncRNA from 1 species
CCAUGAGUAAUUGCUCUCAUUCCUGGCUUGUUCUUCAGGACAUAAACUUGCGAGUCUCCAGAACCUAGACCUUGCCCACAUUAGGUCUGUCUGCAAAACUUUGUCGCUUGCAGGGAUUGCACCAGCAUGUAGAGGAUUGUCAGAGCUUCUUCCAGUGGCAGAGAAGUAAGCAGAGGCUGAGACACACAUGGAAGCAUGAAGAGGCAUAGGGUUGCAGAAGUUGCUGGAAUUGGGGACUGUUGCAAGACUUUGCUCUAUAGAGAGAUCCCUGCUCCUGGGCAGCUCACUAUGGAAACAACAGGACUUCGGAGGGCAAUAAAACUUUUACUGCUGCUAUGCUGCCCGUGUGAGAAAACCACCUUAUGCCCUAUGGAAGAAACCAGUACACUAAAUGUGAAUGGAUGGAUGAAACACAAUCCCAUAGAUAACAAAUAUCCUGUUUCUAUGCUUGGAAGGAUUUAUUGUACAACAAUGCUGCCAGAAUGUAAUAUGGUGAUUUUCUGUGUAUUCAUGCUCACCUACAUUUCAGAAGACAUGAAACGGUUAUGGGAUUUGUGUGUUAAUGCUGUCUUUUCCUUCCAUAAUCAGUCUUUUUUCUACCUCACAUUUUCCAUGUCUGUUGCAGCAUACAAAUUUUAUUUAUUUCUAAACAUUUCUAUCCUGUCCUUCACAAAAAGCUCUCCAGGUGGAUCACAGCAUUCAGUAAAAUACAGUAUAAAAC